rnacentral:rRNA from 1 species
UACGUAGGGUGCAAGCGUUGUCCGGAAUUAUUGGGCGUAAAGAGCUCGUAGGCGGUCUGUCGCGUCGGAUGUGAAAACCCAGGGCUCAACCCUGGGCCUGCAUUCGAUACGGGCAGACUAGAGUACGGCAGGGGAGACUGGAAUUCCUGGUGUAGCGGUGAAAUGCGCAGAUAUCAGGAGGAACACCGGUGGCGAAGGCGGUUCUCUGGGCCUUACCUGACGCUGAGGAGCGAAAGCGUGGGGAGCGAACAGG